GAGACGAGGACAGCGGAAAGUGGACCUGCCAGGCCGGGAGUGUGUCCCUCACCAACUAUGCACACAGCACUCGCUCUUAGCUCCUCUGUCCGGGCUACUAGGAGUGAGACCAGCUUCUGGCAACUGCCCCAGCUCCAGGCCAUCCCAUAGCUCCUCCUCUUCUGGCUGCCCCCAAUGCCCCGAGGCCUGGGGAGCCCCCAGCUCACCCAUCUGUAGCUCCCUCAAAGUCAGGGCCCACCCCAUCUGAGGCAGAGAAGACUCGAGUCCAGCCCCCAGGAAGCCUGCUCCCCUCUCUGGCCCAUGGUCCUGCUUCAUGCUUUGGGUCAGGAGGCCAAAGCUGAUGUUCAGGCCCCACCCACUCCCUACAGUCCUCAGACCAAGGAGGGUUUGGGUAGUAGGCCCGAGCUGCAUUUCCGGCCUUCCGUGGGCCAACUGGCAGCCCAGGAGUGGGGAGGCUUUGGCCAGGCAUGCUGCCACUUGUGCGUGAGUCCGCGGCUGGCCCUUGGAGGUGACCAUCCAGGCAGGCCUGGCUCAGACUGGAAGGGCUGGGGACCGAGGGCUCCCCUGCCUCUGUUCUCCUUUCUGACCCACUGGGAUUUGCUAGCAGGCUGCCCCAGCCCCAUCACCGAAACACAUACUCAAGAGCUCAAAUACCACUGCUCCCACCAGCGUACGGAUUAAGUUCAUCAGGCUUCCAUCGGCUGGAGCAUGGGACCAUAGCCCCUGCCCAGGAGCCAUACCCUCGGACCACAGUGGCUCUGUAUGGCCAGGAACUGGGACUCGAGCUUUCAGAUUCUCAACUAGCCUUGGCAAAACAGCUGUAGGCGGCCUCCCUGACAACAGACACUCAGCCCUCCCCACCCUGGCUCUCCUUGCAUUUCCCCAUGCUCCCCACCCCCUGGCAAAAGGCUGGCCAUGCUCUGUUCCCAGCAGCCGCGCAGGUUUCCCCACUGGCUGCAAUGGCCCUACUAAAAGCCACGUUGCAUAUCCGUUGUAAGCACGUGCCCUGUGCCCUGUCCCCAUUCCUUAUGCCCUAGGAGGCCAAGCUGGUGUCUCUAGGAGGGCCCACACGGGCACCCUGGAUCCCCCAGAGAGCAGAUUGGUGUGCUCAGGCCGCAGGCUGACUCAGAGCUAGGGCAGUGGGCUCUGCAGGCCACCUGGCUGGGGUUGGUGGGGGUCCUCUCUCC
rnacentral:lncRNA from 1 species